GCGAGUUUAUUAAGCUGUCCCCUAUAUCCAGUGCCAUCAUCCCGCAUAGAAGUUCGGAUGGCCGUCUCUAAAAGACUGGAUAUGUAAAGCUGUCCGCCUUCUCUCAGACGGUCGCUGCUGAUAUGGAGAAUGCAAUUCAGGAAAUGGAAAAUCAGGGUGUUCAUUCGUACAUACUGGACCUGAGGAAUAACCCAGGAGGAUUGGUUAAAGCAGGACUUGAUGUUGCCCAAAUAUGGCUUGAUGGAGAUGAGCUC